AUGAGGCUUAACGGUUUGGAGCGAAACCCGAUGCCAGGAAUAGAAGACGCCCUGAUGAAGGACUCGCCCAAGGCUUCCUCCUUGGUGGAGGUGGAAAAACCUUCCCUUGGUGAUGUUGACGUUCUGGGCGGCGGAGGGUCCAUGCUUACGGGGAAGAAGAGGAAGGAUGUUCCUGCGGGCGAGAAUGGCGGCGUGGCAAAGAGGGUGCUCAGGUCAGCCACCAUGAAGCUGCAUGUGGAUGCUGAGCCCGAGGGUGAAGCUGCCGCCGCCGCGGAUGUUAGCGAGUGUGACGCUUUGGAGAAGACUGACUGUGAGGCUACUGCGGGUGACAGUUUGGAGAAGACUAACUGCGAGGCUACUGCGGGUGACAGUCUGGAGAAGACUAACUGCGAGGCUACUGCAGGUGACAGUCUGGAGAAGACUAACUGUGAGGCUGUUGCAGAGGAUGGCAGAAGCGGGGCGCAGACAGUCGACGCUUCUAAAGGCGAUGAGCACAUGGAUGAGGUUCCAGUGAAAGUGGAUGAUGCUAUACAAGUGCCAGCUAAGUGUUCUGAGAAUAAUGUGGAUAGUGCCGGUAUUGCUCAAGAGAAUGGCUUAGACAACCAAAAAAGCAAUUUUGAAUCUGAUGAUAAAGUGAAGGCAGACGAGAAGACUUACUCUGCAACUCAGGAGGAGGAGAAUGUGUCUGGGACAAGUGGGGGUGGUACUGAUGACUCCCAGGAAAACAAGGGUGCCAAUGGACCUUGCCAGGGGGAGGUCAUAGACCCAUCAGCUGCAGCAAAAGACGAUGAAUUGGUCAUUGAUGUAAGCAGAAACAACCCUACUAGCGCAUCAGAACCUGUUCAGCAGGAUGGUAAUGUUGUGCGUACUGAGGGAAUGGUACUCCAGAGUGGUGAUCAGGGAGUUGAGAAGCAUUGUCACGAUGAUGAUGUACGUAAAGACACUGAAGCUUCUCUAAAUGGUAAUGGAAGAUGUGUGGCUGAUAACAACAUCGCAUUAACUGAUUGCACUAACCAUAAAGAGGGCUUAGGUAGCCCUGUAGGCGGAACCAAGGGGAUUUCGACUCCUGACAUUGUAUUUAUAAGGAGAAAGUCGUUAACCAGAAACACAUGUGAAAUGAAGUUGAAACAUGAAGAGGAGGAGGUUCAGUUUGAGAGGAGAGUUACAAGGUCAUCUACAGUUAAACAAAGAGAGGCUUCUGGAAGCUCAUGCAAAAGUAGUGCAAACGCGGCUAGCAUGGAAAGCAAGGGGAGAAAGGAAGAUGUUGUUCAUCAUUAUACAAGGAAAGUGAGCAAUACUGCAUCCUUAAAAGCUGACCACACUGAACCUGCUAAACGUGGAACCAACACAAAGAAGAACACACCAAAUGGAAAGAUUAGUGCUCAAAGAAAAUCAGGUGUUACUGGCAAGGAUUAUCCUGCAAAUAUCACAGAGAACAAGGCAUCAGCAACAGAGAUAAAGAUCAAUUCGAAGCCACAGCCGUCCAUGAGAAGUGGCAGCAUUGCCAAGGCAACAACAAAAGAUGCAGUUCCUCUGGUGGAUCAGAAUGUCUGUAGUUCAGCUAUCACUGAAAAGAAUGAUACAGAGCUAACAGAUUCGGAAGGAGUUAGAUCUGAAAACAAGACUGCCAUGCCGAAGUCACCAUUAUCAGUUGGUGCUAAGAUUGUUGCCAGCAAGAAGAGGAUGUUGGAAUCAGGUCUUGAUAAAAUUGCUGGAGGGUCACCAGUUGAGACACCAUCCAUGAAAAAGACAAGAAGUACUUCUCACACCGAGUUAGAUCAAUCAAAGAAGUCUUCUGGGAAGAUGCUUACAGAGAAGAACUCCGGUCCAGACAAAAAAUAUAUUUUGACAAAACAGCAGCAUCACAGUCGAGCAGCUGAGUUGAGCAGAUCUGUUAACCCCUCUAAUAAAGAUGCCUGCAAGCUUUCACAUAAUGGAUCUGAUGUUGAUGGAACUGAUAUCAUCAUUACCCACAAGAGAAAUUGUAGAGGGCGCAGAGAACGUGAUGCUCCUGCCGUCAUGGUAAAUCAAGAGUAUUCUAGUGAAUCUGAGGAAGUUAUUGUUGUGAGAAAAGACAGGCGAAAAAGGAAAGAUCCAUUGCAUAAACAAAGGUCCGGAUCUAGACCAAACCGUUCUUCUGGUUCUCCCAAAGCAAGUUGUUCCAAAGGCAAUAGCGAGGCACAAUAUGGCUCCAGAGCAAAAUCUGGAAACCCAGGUGAAUCAACAGGUCGUUUUGAACAAAAGCGUCAAAUAAGCGAACAGGUAAAGACCAUACUUCUGGAUGCUGGUUGGAAGAUUGAUCUGAGACCCAGGAAUGGCAGAAAUUAUUGGGAUUCUGUCUAUAUACCUCCAAGUGGUAAAGGAUCUUACUGGUCAAUCACAAAAGCAUACGCAGUGUAUGAAAGUAUGCAAUCUGAGCAAAAGAACGAAGCUACAAGCGAGAAUUUAUCAAAGAAAUCUCCGGGCAGCCCUGGCAAAACACAUGCUUCUGUGAGUAGUUCUUUACCACAGGAGAUCCUCAGCAAACUAAAAAGAGUAGUUGUUAACAAGCGAAAGACCAAAGUUGAGCUUCAGAAGUUAAAAAAGAGGAAGCAUGGUUUGCUAAAGAACUCUAAAAAUUCAAAGGGCAGGCCAAAGGAAAAGAAGAAGAAGAUUUCAAAGGAAAGAAAAAAGCGAGGCGGUUGUGCUCUACUCGCUCGUGGAUCAAAUCAGGAGGCUGGAAGCAGCAAUGGUUUUGCUCCAUAUGAAUGGAAACGCACAGUUUUCUCCUGGUUGAUUGAUCUGGAUGUUCUAUCCGUCAACACUAGACUGAAAUGCAUGGAUGAAAGCCGCUCAAAAGUUCUGCUAGAGGGUUUACUCACCAGGGAUGGAAUUAACUGUAGCUGCUGUAGCAAGGUUGUCACAGUACUCGAAUUUGUGGCUCAUGCUGGUGGUCAACCGAGCAAACCAUACAGGAAUAUACUUGUGGAUGGGCUGGACAAUGACCUUUUGCAUUGUCUCAUUAGUGCAUGGGACAAGCAGUCUGAUUCUGAAAGACAGGCCUUUUUCCCUGUUAGCACUGAGGGUGAUGAUCCCAAUGACGACACAUGUGGUAUUUGUGGUGAUGGAGGCAAUUUGAUCUGCUGUGACGGAUGCCCCUCAACAUUCCACAUGAGUUGCCUAGAACUCGAGGAACUUCCAUCUGAUGAUUGGCGUUGUGCAAACUGUUCCUGUAAAUUUUGUCAGGAGCAUUUGAAUCAUGAUGCUCCAGACAAUGCUGAAGUUGAUUCAUUACAUUCUUGUUCCCAAUGCGAGGAGAAAUAUCACCCAGCUUGCUCUCCUGAGACUGAGGACCUAUCCAGUGUCUCCAAUCAGGCAGGAAAUCAUUUUUGCCAACAAAGUUGCAGACUGCUGUUUGAGGAAUUGCAGAAUCUUCUUGCGGUCAAGAAGGAUCUUGAACCUGAAUUUGCAUGCAGAAUUAUUCAGUGUAGCCAUGAAAAUGCACCAGAAACAGUUCUUGAUUUGGAUGGAAGGGUCGAGUGUAAUUCCAAGAUUGCAGUUGCUCUUUCACUGAUGGAUGAGUGCUUUCUUCCUAUUGUUGACCAAAGAACUGGGAUCAACUUGAUACGUAAUGUUGUGUACAACUGUGGGUCAAAUUUUCUCCGGCUGGAUUUCCGUGGAUUUUAUAUCUUUAUUUUGGAGCGUGGAGAUGAAAUAGUAUCUGCAGCAUCAGUCAGGAUACAUGGGACCAAGUUGGCAGAGAUGCCAUUCAUUGGUACACGACAUAUGUAUCGUCGCCAAGGGAUGUGCCGUCGACUUUUAGAUGGAAUUGAAAUGAUCCUCAGUUCUCUCAAAGUUGAGAAGUUGAUCAUUCCUGCUAUUAAUGAACUGGUGGACACCUGGACAUCCAAAUUCGGAUUUAGCCCACUUGAAGUUUCAGACAAGCAAGAAGUCAAGUCUAUCAACAUGUUAGUUUUUCCUGGUACAGGUCUUCUUCAAAAGCCAUUGCUAAAUAAGCAGGCUUCACCUCAGGAACACCCAGGUUCUGAAGGAGAUGCGGAUGCGGAGACCCAAGGUUCGGAGGUCAUGGAUCAGUUGAACAGCAGCAAAGAAGAUGCUGAAACUUGCAAAGAUUGA
rnacentral:rRNA from 1 species